ensembl:lncRNA
CUUAAAAUGAAUGUAGGCUAUAACAUACCAAAGAUCGUAUCUUAUGCAAUUUUUUUGUGCAUAUAUUAAAUAAUAAGAUAAAUAAUAGCACGUUAAUAAUAGGCUAUAAAGCGCAUAUAUGAAAAAACAGACCGAAUGGAAAGUGCAGGAUGGAUAUUUACAUGUAGCCUACAUUUGUUUUUGUUUUGUUUGUUUUUUUUUCCGCAGGUGAAACGCUGUACUGUAACGCACCUGUGUGUCACGUGAACCACAUGACUGUGACGUCAUCGAUGUCCAACUUUCAUUUCAAGUGUUUUAUGGGAAUAGGGUUAACUCCUGCGCACUGAAAAAUGGGAUGUUGUUUCUCCUCUCCCGAUGGAGACGAUGAGAGAGAACCUUUGAUUCAGUCCAACAAUAAAACACCAGCUGAGUCUGCAAGACCACCACGACCAGCUAACACAGAUGUAGAUCAGAGGAGUGGCAGUUUUACGGCUCGUUGUGUUGGUGUUUCUGGUCUUGAUGAGCGAUUCACUGAUGUUGCAGAAACGUUCAACAAACAGCAGGAACACUAUGAAUCAAUGAACAACAAGCUUCAGACUCUUGCAAGCCACUAUCACUGUCCAAUAAACGACAGUCUGUCUGAAUGCCUGAGGAAAAUCAAGGAGAAACAUGAGCUCUGCCACAUCAGUCUGGAGGUUAAAGGAUACGACUUCAGUCUGAUGGUGAGAUCAGAAGCCGAAAUCCCCAGCGAACUGAAGCGGACGCAAGAGAACGUCAACGAGCUGAGCCGAGCUGCCAAAUCCGUCAUCUCCGUCAGCACUAAACUCCACAAAAUGAUCGACUCGCUUCUGAGAGAUGAGGACAGCAUGAUCAGUCAGAUCAAAGAUGCUGAAUCCAGACACCAGGAGCAAAGGAGGCUGGUGGACAACCUGCGGGAAAACCUCAGAGAGGCUCGGAGAGCCAAAGAACUGAGUCCGAAGUACAGGGAAGAGGCUGGAAAUCUGCUCAAUGAGGCUGCAUUGCUCUCUGGAAUCACACCGUGAACUGACUUUGCCUCUCAAUGUGAGCCAAUGGCAAAUAUGAAGGAUUUUAUUAUAAUGUUAAACCAUGAACAGAAGAAAUUGCAGUGUUGCAGCAGCAAAUAUACAGUAGAUCAACAAAAUAGCAGUACAAAUAUACUAUAACCAUUAAAAUAAUAUUACAAUUAUAUUAUAAAAAACAUAACGUGUAUGUAAAGUGCAUAAAACCUGACCAGACCUCUAGUGCAAGUAAUAAAUAAAAUGUCUUGGCUGAUGAAGGACUAUGA